CACGGGGGGGGCAAGCGUUGUCCGGAAUUAUUGGGCGUAAAGGGCGCGUAGGCGGGAAUUUAAGUCUGAGGUGAAAGUUUGCGGCUUAACCGUAGAAUUGCCUUGGAUACUGGAUUUCUUGAGUGCGGGAGAGGGAAGCGGAAUUCCUGGUGUAGCGGUGAAAUGCGUAGAUAUCAGGAAGAACACCGGUGGCGAAGGCGGCUUUCUGGCCCGUAACUGACGCUGAGGCGCGAAAGUGUGGGUAGCGAACAGG
rnacentral:rRNA from 1 species